GACGUAGGAUGCAAGCGUUGUCCGGAUUCAUUGGGCGUAAAGAGUUCGUAGGUGGCAUAGCAAGUCUGGUGUUAAAGCCCGGAGCUCAACUCCGGUUCGGCACUGGAUACUGCUAAGCUAGAGUACAGAAGAGGCAAGGGGAAUUCCCAGUGUAGCGGUGAAAUGCGUAGAUAUUGGGAGGAACACCGGUGGCGAAAGCGCCUUGCUGGGCUGUUACUGACGCUGAGGAACGAAAGCCAGGGGAGCAAAUGGG
rnacentral:rRNA from 1 species